CACAGGUGUUGCAUGGCUGUCGUCAGCUCGUGCCGUGAGGUGUUAGGUUAAGUCCUGUAACGAGCGCAACCCCUGCCGUUAGUUACAUGUGUCUAACGGGACUGCCCGGCUCAACUGGGAGGAAGGUGGGACGACGUCAAGUCAGCAUGGCCUUUAUAUCCUGGGCUACACACACGCUACAAUGGUCGGUACAAUGGGUCGCCAAGCCGCGAGGCGGAGCCAAUCCUCCAAACCGGCCUCAGUUCAGAUUGUAGGCUGCAACUCGCCUGCAUGAAGUUGGAGUUGCUAGUAACCGCGCGUCAGCUAUAGUGCGGUGAAUACGUUCCCGGGGCUU
rnacentral:rRNA from 1 species